AUUGAACGCUGGCGGCAUGCCUUACACAUGCAAGUCGAACGGCAGCACGGGAGCAAUCCUGGUGGCGAGUGGCGAACGGGUGAGUAAUAUAUCGGAACGUGCCUGGUCGUGGGGAUAACGUAGCGAAAGCUACGCUAAUACCGCAUACGAUCUACGGAUGAAAGCGGGGGAUCGCAAGACCUCGCGCGAUUGGAGCGGCCGAUAUCAGAUUAGGUAGUUGGUGAGGUAAAGGCUCACCAAGCCGACGAUCUGUAGCUGGUCUGAGAGGACGACCAGCCACACUGGGACUGAGACACGGCCCAGACUCCUACGGGAGGCAGCAGUGGGGAAUUUUGGACAAUGGGCGCAAGCCCUGAUCCAGCAAUGCCGCGUGCAGGAUGAAGGCCU
rnacentral:rRNA from 1 species